GACGUAGGGGGCAAGCGUUGUCCGGAUUUAUUGGGCGUAAAGAGCUCGUAGGCGGUUCAGUAAGUCAGGUGUGAAACCUCCAGGCUCAACCUGGAGACGCCACCUGAUACUGCUGUGACUUGAGUCCGGUAGGGGAGCGUGGAAUUCCUGGUGUAGCGGUGAAAUGCGCAGAUAUCAGGAGGAACACCAGCGGCGAAGGCGGCGCUCUGGGCCGGAACUGACGCUGAGGAGCGAAAGCGUGGGUAGCAAACAGG
rnacentral:rRNA from 1 species